rnacentral:lncRNA from 1 species
GGUGCUGCCCAGGAUCAGGAGGCUGAGCCAUGGUCUGGAAGUGAGUGCCCAUCCAUACACCUUCCCCAGCUUCGGGGCCACAGAGGGAGAGAAACCGGGGGCAGGUUGGUCUGGGAAUGAACCUACACCAGCCUGCAGUCAGAAGAGCCUCCAGGAGCCUCCAGCCUGGACUCUUUUUACAGAUGGGGAAACUGAGUCCCAGAGAGGGAGCAAUAAAGGAUGUCUAAGGUCAUCAGCAACUUAAAGCCAACAGCAUCAUCCUGAGUCAUAUUUGAACCUGAGGGAAAGAAACAUAUGUUCGAAGAGAUUCUGAGGCUGCUGCACCCGAUAUCAUACCUGGUUGGCCCUGGGAAAGGGCCCGCCUCCAAUACAUAAACACAACCAGCUUUGACAAUGAGCCCUGAAGCACGGCAUUGAGAAGCCGCCUAAGAAGGAGGCAGGUCCAUCAGCCUUGGUGCCCGACUGAUUACCCUGAGCAGAGCUCCCCAGCCCACCUGUGAUGGACACAUGGAGCUUGAGCAAGGAAUAAAUUUUUGUUGCUGGACUCUGUGAUUACACUGGACCUAUCCAAGAUCCGAGAUAAUCAACUCAUCUCAAAAUCCUUAAGUUGACCACAGCAGCAUCGUCCCUUUUGCAGUGUAAGUUCCCCUCCAGGUUUGCACAGCAUCUGCUGAAGUCUCCACUAGAAACUCAGUGGAAGGUCCCUAUCAGAAACUGAAAGUCUCCUAGAACAGCUUUGAGUUGUGGUUUUACCCUCCCUGCAGAUCCACAG